rnacentral:rRNA from 1 species
CAGGCCUAACACAUGUAYGUCGAGGGGCAUCGAGAAGAAAGCUUGCUUUCUUUGUCGGCGACCGGCGCACGGGUGAGUAACGCGUAUCCAACCUACCCUUUACACUGGGAUAGCCCGUUGAAAAGCGGAUUAAUACCAGAUGCAGUCCUUUGCGGACAUCUAAGUAGGACGAAAGGUUUUUCCGGUAGAGGAUGGGGAUGCGUCCGAUUAGCUUGUUGGCGGGGUAACGGCCCACCAAGGCGACGAUCGGUAGGGGUUCUGAGAGGAAGGUCCCCCACACUGGUACUGAGACACGGACCAGACUCCUACGGGAGGCAGCAGUGAGGAAUAUUGGUCAAUGGGCGGAAGCCUGAACCAGCCAAGUAGCGUGCAGGAUGACGGCCCUAUGGGUUGUAAACUGCUUUUAUAGGGGAAUAAAGUUCGGGACGUGUCCCGUUUUGUAUGUACCCUAUGAAUAAGGACCGGCUAAUUCCGUGCCAGCAGCCGCGGUAAUACGGAAGGUCCGGGCGUUAUCCGGAUUUAUUGGGUUUAAAGGGAGCGUAGGCCGACUUUUAAGCGUGUUGUGAAAUGUGGUGGCUCAACCUCUGCACUGCAGCGCGAACUGGGAGUCUUGAGUGCGCAGUAAGCUGGCGGAAUUCGUUGUGUAGCGGUGAAAUGCUUAGAUAUGACGAAGAACUCCGAUUGCGAAGGCAGCUGGCUGUAGCGUUACUGACGCUGAAGCUCGAAAGCGUGGGUAUCGAACAGGAUUAGAUACCCUGGUAGUCCACGCGGUAAACGAUGGAUGCUCGCUGUGUGCCUUAUGAGGUACGUGGCCAAGCGAAAGCAUUAAGCAUCCCACCUGGGGAGUACGCCGGCAACGGUGAAACUCAAAGGAAUUGACGGGGGCCCGCACAAGCGGAGGAACAUGUGGUUUAAUUCGAUGAUACGCGAGGAACCUUACCCGGGCUUGAACUGCAGGGGAACGAUUCAGAGAUGAUGAGGUCCUUCGGGACUCCUGUGGAGGUGCUGCAUGGUUGUCGUCAGCUCGUGCCGUGAGGUGUCGGCUUAAGUGCCAUAACGAGCGCAACCCUUUUCUGUAGUUGCCAUCAGGUAAUGCUGGGCACUCUACGGACACUGCCGCCGCAAGGUGUGAGGAAGGUGGGGAUGACGUCAAAUCAGCACGGCCCUUACGUCCGGGGCUACACACGUGUUACAAUGGCGCAUACAGAUUGCCGGCUUGUGGCAACACUGGUCAAAUCAAUAAAAUGCGUCGUAGUUCGGAUUGGGGUCUGCAACCCGACCCCAUGAAGCUGGAUUCGCUAGUAAUCGCGCAUCAGCCAUGGCGCGGUGAAUACGUUCCCGG